GUGGGGAAUCUUAGACAAUGGGGGAAACCCUGAUCUAGCCAUGCCGCGUGAGCGAUGAAGGCCUUAGGGUUGUAAAGCUCUUUCAGCUGGGAAGAUAAUGACGGUACCAGCAGAAGAAGCCCCGGCUAACUCCGUGCCAGCAGCCGCGGUAAUACGGAGGGGGCUAGCGUUGUUCGGAAUUACUGGGCGUAAAGCGCGCGUAGGCGGACCAGAAAGUUGGAGGUGAAAUCCCAGGGCUCAACCUUGGAACUGCCUUCAAAACUCCUGGUCUGGAGUUCGAGAGAGGUGAGUGGAAUUCCGAGUGUAGAGGUGAAAUUCGUAGAUAUUCGGAGGAACACCAGUGGCGAAGGCGGCUCACUGGCUCGAUACUGACGCUGAGGUGCGAAAGCGUGGGGAGCAAACAGGAUUAGAUACCCGAGUAGUCC
rnacentral:rRNA from 1 species